rnacentral:rRNA from 1 species
AGUCUGACGGAGCAACGCCGCGUGAGUGAUGAAGGUUUUCGGAUCGUAAAACUCUGUUGUCAGGGAAGAAACAAGUGCCGGAGUAACUGCCGGCGCCUUGACGGUACCUGACCAGAAAGCCACGGCUAACUACGUGCCAGCAGCCGCGGUAAUACGUAGGUGGCAAGCGUUGUCCGGGGGGGGGGGGACGAAAAACGAGCGCAGGCGGUUUCUUAAGUCUGAUGUGAAAGCCCCCGGCUCAACCGGGGAGGGUAAAUUGGAAACUGGGAAACUUGAGUGCAGAAGAGGAGAGUGGAAUUCCACGUGUAGCGGUGAAAUGCGUAGAGAUGUGGAGGAACACCAGUGGCGAAGGCGACUCUCUGGUCUGUAACUGACGCUGAGGCGCGAAAGCGUGGGGAGCGAACAGGAUUAGAUACCCUGGUAGUCCACGCCGUAAACGAUGAGUGCUAAGUGUUAGAGGGUUUCCGCCCUUUAGUGCUGCAGCUAACGCAUUAAGCACUCCGCCUGGGGAGUACGGUCGCAAGACUGAAACUCAAAGGAAUUGACGGGGGCCCGCACAAGCGGUGGAGCAUGUGGUUUAAUUGGAAGCAACGCGAAGAACCUUACCAGGUCUUGACAUCCUUUGCCACUUCUAGAGAUAGAAGGUUCCCCUUCGG